AGCUACGUGUCUGGUCCCGAUUUCGAACAUCUGGCGUAGCCACGACAACAAGCGAAGCAUUCGGCUGAGGGUCACCAGUUAAACCGGUCACGACUUGAACUGAAACACCGGAGCUCCCCAAUCUCUCUUCAAUGAUUAAUUUGAUUCGUUUGGACUGAAGAGACGCUUUACCUGCCGCCGAGCAGCCAGACGGGACAGGAACAGAUCAAACAACCGUAUUAAUUAAUGGUGGUGGCUGCUGGUACUAGCGGCGGCUGCUGCUGCUUGUGUAUGCGGCUGAUGGUGGAUGCUGCUGAAGUUAAUAAUAUUCCUCCCUGUUCCUUAACUUUGUUCUUGUUUUACAAGUUAGAUAUACAUUAGUGCUGUAAGUUAAAUGUGUUAUUAACGGCGUUAA